rnacentral:rRNA from 1 species
AGCUCACUGGUCGAGUCGGCCUGCGCGGAAGAUGUAACGGGGCUAAACCAUGCACCGAAGCUGCGGCAGCGACGCUUAUGCGUUGUUGGGUAGGGGAGCGUUCUGUAAGCCUGUGAAGGUGUACUGUGAGGUAUGCUGGAGGUAUCAGAAGUGCGAAUGCUGACAUAAGUAACGAUAAAGCGGGUGAAAAGCCCGCUCGCCGGAA